rnacentral:rRNA from 1 species
CGGAGCAAGACCGCGUGGGGGAGGAAAGCCUUUGGGUUGUAAACCCCUUUUCUCAGGGAAGAAGAAAGUGACGGUACCUGAGGAAUCAGCCUCGGCUAACUCCGUGCCAGCAGCCGCGGUAAUACGGAGGAGGCAAGCGUUAUCCGGAAUGAUUGGGCGUAAAGCGUUCGUAGGUGGCAAUUCAAGUCUGCUGUCAAAGACAGUAGCUCAACUACUGCAAGGCAGUGGAAACUGAAUAGCUAGAGUGCGGUAGGGGCAGAGGGAAUUCCCGGUGUAGCGGUGAAAUGCGUAGAGAUCGGGAAGAACACCGGUGGCGAAAGCGCUCUGCUGGGCCGCAACUGACACUGAGGGACGAAAGCUAGGGGAGCGAAUGGGAUUAGAUACCCCAGUAGUC